AUCGCUUCUCAGCCUUUUAGCUAAGAUCAAGUGUAGUAUCAGUUUAAUAUCUGAUACGUCCUCUAUCCAAGGACAACAUGUUAAAUGGAUUUUUGGAGCACGGAGAUGGAAUUGGAGCUUGCUCCAUCCACUCCACACAUCAACCUGAUAUUGCAGUACUUCCAGGAAUGGUGCACCCCCU
rnacentral:snRNA from 1 species